UACGCAGGCAGCGAGCGUUGUUCGGAAUUACUGGGCGUAAAGAGUGUGUAGGCGGUGCUCUAAGUUCGGUGUGAAAUCUCCUGGCUCAACUGGGAGGGUGCGCCGGAAACUGGAGUGCUUGAGCGUGGGAGAGGAAAGCGGAAUUCCUGGUGUAGCGGUGAAAUGCGUAGAUAUGACAUAGAACGCCAAUUGCGUAGGCAGCUUACUACACGAUCAUUGACGCUGAGGCACGAAAGCGUGGGGAGCAAACAGG
rnacentral:rRNA from 1 species